GACGAACCGUGCGAACGUUAUUCGGAAUCACUGGGCUUAAAGGGCGCGUAGGCGGCCUCCGCAAGUCAGUUUGUGAAAUCUCCGAGCUUAACUCGGAAAGGUCAACUGAUACUGCGGGGCUAGAGUGCGGAAGGGGCAACUGGAAUUCUUGGUGUAGCGGUGAAAUGCGUAGAUAUCAAGAGGAACACCUGCGGCGAAGGCGGGUUGCUGGGCCGACACUGACGUGAGGCGCGAAAGCUAGGGGAGCGAACGGG
rnacentral:rRNA from 1 species